AAUAAAAAGGAACGGACGUUUACCCGAAAUGAACAUCAAAUUUGCAUUUGAGACAGGUU
ensembl:ncRNA K01A6.10 ncRNA